rnacentral:rRNA from 1 species
UACGUAGGAUGCAAGCGUUGUCCGGAAUUAUUGGGCGUAAAGCGAACGUAGGCGGUUUCUUAAGAUUGGUCUUAAAGACCGGGGCUCAACCUCGGGAAUGGAUCGAUAACUGGGAGACUGGAGGACGUCAGAGGAAAGUGGAAUUCCGAGUGUAGCGGUGAAAUGCGUAGAUAUUCGGAGGAACACCAGUGGCGAAAGCGGCGAUCUGGGAAGAUACUGACGCUGAGGUGCGAAAGCGUGGGGAGCAAACAGG